rnacentral:tRNA from 1 species
GCGGGAGUAGCUCAGUUGGUAGAGCAUUACCUUGCCAAGGUAAAGGUCGAGGGUUCGAGCCCCUUCUUCCGCUCCG